GAUGAACGCUGGCGGCGUGCCUAAUACAUGCAAGUCGAGCGAACAGACGAGGAGCUUGCUCCUCUGACGUUAGCGGCGGACGGGUGAGUAACACGUGGAUAACCUACCUAUAAGACUGGGAUAACUUCGGGAAACCGGAGCUAAUACCGGAUAAUAUAUUGAACCGCAUGGUUCAAUAGUGAAAGACGGUUUUGCUGUCACUUAUAGAUGGAUCCGCGCCGCAUUAGCUAGUUGGUAAGGUAACGGCUUACCAAGGCAACGAUGCGUAGCCGACCUGAGAGGGUGAUCGGCCACACUGGAACUGAGACACGGUCCAGACUCCUACGGGAGGCAGCAGUAGGGAAUAUUCCGCAAUGGGCGAAAGCCUGACGGAGCAACGCCGCGUGAAUGAUGAAGGUCUUCGGAUCGUAAAACUCUGUUAUUAGGGAAGAACAAAUGUGUAAGUAACUAUGCACGUCUUGACGGUACCUAAUCAGAAAGCCACGGCUAACUACGUG
rnacentral:rRNA from 1 species